GGACUACAGGGGUUUCUAAUCCCGUUCGCUACCCACGCUUUCGUGCUUGAGUGUCAGGAACGCGCCAGUGAAUUGCCUUCGCUUUCGGUGUUCCCCAUGAUAUCAACGGAUUUCACCCCUACACCAUGAGUUCCAUUCACCUCUCACGCCCUCGAGUCGUACCGUUUCGCCCGCGGAUCCAGGGUUGAGCCCUGGGUUUUGACAGACGACUAAUACGACCACCUACGCACUCUUUACGCCCAGUAAUUCCGGGUAACGCUCGGGGCCUCUGUAUUACCGCGGCGGCUGGCAC
rnacentral:rRNA from 1 species